AGGAACUCAAAUGUACCUUAAUUCAUCUUUCUCAGUAAAAUAUUUUUUCUACUCGGCAUGAAUGUCGAGUUCCAUGAUGCUAAUUUUUCAUACGUUCCCAAUACACUGCCAGAUACCCUGAAAAAUUUACAGCAAAAUCAACAAAGAUUUCACAUUUAGAAAA